UACGGAGGGGGCAAGCGUUGUUCGGAAUUAUUGGGCGUAAAGGGCACGUAGGUGGACUAGUAAGUUAAAAGUGAAAUACCAAAGCUCAACUUUGGAGCUGCUUUUAAUACUGCUAGACUAGAGGUCGAAAGAGGAUAGCGGAAUUCCUAGUGUAGAGGUGAAAUUCGUAGAUAUUAGGAGGAACACCAGUGGCGAAGGCGGCUGUCUGGUUCGAUACUGACACUGAGGUGCGAAAGCGUGGGGAGCAAACAGGAUUA
rnacentral:rRNA from 1 species